rnacentral:rRNA from 1 species
AGAGUUUGAUCCUGGCUCAGGACGAACGCUGGCGGCGCGCCUAACACAUGCAAGUCGAACGAGCGAGAGAGAGCUUGCUUUCUCGAGCGAGUGGCGAACGGGUGAGUAACGCGUGAGGAACCUGCCUCAAAGAGGGGGACAACAGUUGGAAACGACUGCUAAUACCGCAUAAGCCCACGGGUCGGCAUCGACCAGAGGGAAAAGGAGCAAUCCGCUUUGAGAUGGCCUCGCGUCCGAUUAGCUAGUUGGUGAGGUAAUGGCCCACCAAGGCGACGAUCGGUAGCCGGACUGAGAGGUUGAACGGCCACAUUGGGACUGAGACACGGCCCAGACUCCUACGGGAGGCAGCAGUGGGGAAUAUUGCACAAUGGGGGAAACCCUGAUGCAGCGACGCCGCGUGGAGGAAGAAGGUCUUCGGAUUGUAAACUCCUGUUGUUGAGGAAGAUAAUGACGGUACUCAACAAGGAAGUGACGGCUAACUACGUGCCAGCAGCCGCGGUAAAACGUAGGUCACAAGCGUUGUCCGGAAUUACUGGGUGUAAAGGGAGCGCAGGCGGGAAGACAAGUUGGAAGUGAAAUCCAUGGGCUCAACCCAUGAACUGCUUUCAAAACUGUUUUUCUUGAGUAGUGCAGAGGUAGGCGGAAUUCCCGGUGUAGCGGUGGAAUGCGUAGAUAUCGGGAGGAACACCAGUGGCGAAGGCGGCCUACUGGGCACCAACUGACGCUGAGGCUCGAAAGUGUGGGUAGCAAACAGGAUUAGAUACCCUGGUAGUCCACACCGUAAACGAUGAUUACUAGGUGUUGGAGGAUUGACCCCUUCAGUGCCGCAGUUAACACAAUAAGUAAUCCACCUGGGGAGUACGACCGCAAGGUUGAAACUCAAAGGAAUUGACGGGGGCCCGCACAAGCAGUGGAGUAUGUGGUUUAAUUCGACGCAACGCGAAGAACCUUACCAAGUCUUGACAUCCCUUGACGAUGCUGGAAACAGUAUUUCUCUUCGGAGCAAGGAGACAGGUGGUGCAUGGUUGUCGUCAGCUCGUGUCGUGAGAUGUUGGGUUAAGUCCCGCAACGAGCGCAACCCUU